UUGUAUGAGGAUACAUAAAGGACUGUUGCAAAUUAGAAGCAUAGCAAGAAUUUUGAGGAUAGUUUUGGUGAUGUUGUUGUGUCUCAAAAGACAAAGAAGAAGAAGAAUUAGUUAAUGAUGCAGGGCUAUUUUUGGUAAGUGAUGAAGCAUUAUUAAUAUUAUUUGUAUUUGUUGUUGCUGUUUUAACAACUUCCACAGGCUUUCUUGAACGGUUUUUUCCUCUAUGCAUGUGUCUUUCACAGUAUUUAGAAUCUGGAUAUGCUUCUUUUGAGCAUCUCCAUUUUUUUCCAUCUGUUCUUCUACAUCUACCUGGCUCUGGAUCUAUUUUUCUUCCUAAACCCAUUUGCAGAUAGUUCCAUCCAACUGAAAAAAAAAAAAUUAUUAAUUGUCUACAUAAAGAUUUGAAGUAUGUUUUGAAGUUAAACUCUUAACAGUAAACAUAUGAAUAUAGAGAGAAAAGACUUACAGUGUUGGUGUUGUUGACUAGGAAAAAGUCUUGAAGAAAGAGGAGAAUCCAAAUAGCUUUUUCUUAUGGUAAAAAGAAGAUCAGGUGGAAUAGAUAUACCAGAAGCCAUGUACUUGUAAAUAAGAGCUUGAUGUUCAAGUUCUUG
rnacentral:lncRNA from 1 species